GGUCGCCUUUGGUGAUUGGACGUUUGAUCAACCGGCGGGAGAAACCGGGUGCGGAGAAGGCAAAGUUCACCUGAAUGCCCCAAGAUGCUCGCGCAUCAUUGGAGCCGCGAAGUGGCAUUCAGGGAGCUAGAGGCGAUUCAGGCCUGGCGGCUUGACAGAAGACGCCUCGAGCUUGGCUGAGUGGAGUUUUUGGUAUGUUUCAAGAUCCUUCGGGGUUGCGACGCUAUCAGCCAAAAGUGACGCGAAGUCCGGUUAAGAUUCCUUCGGGGAGAUUGACUGAGUGAGAAGCUCAAGCCCACUUCGAGCUUGAGUGGAACGCAGUUGCCUAAAAGGUGUAGGUUACCUACUGUAGUAUCAGCACGGCAGGGAUCAAAAAUUGGCCGACAACGGUUAGCCAGACGAAAUCCUCUGAAAGGAGGGACAAAGCUGGGGUUCCCGUCGGGAUAGCCACGAACUUAAGACAACAGUCGUGAAAACUAUCCGGAUCGGUGGCGAUGUAAAAAGUGCAGCGCUGCCAAGUGAAUAAAUGGUGACCUGAGGGGUAAGAGGCGAGACCCGUGGCACGGGCCAACGCACCGCCAAAAGCGGUGGCCGACCUGUGUCAGAUGGCCCGGAUGUGAAAGGUUCACUUCCUCAUCCAGGCCUGGUUCGCAGGUCAGUGGCCGCAACCACUGGCUGAAGCGGGCAAAUAAACCUCACCCAACAAUUCAUGUGCCGAGAGGCCUUGAACGGCCCUGCUAUGAGGCCGACAACUCCGCGAGUCACGGAGAAUGGCGUCGGGGAGCGACCGACCUGCAUCGCAGGUGCCAAACGGUUGCAACGGGAAAGAGCGUGUGGCGAGCGCC
rnacentral:sRNA from 12 species